CCUACGGGUGGCUGCAGUGGGGAAUAUUGGACAAUGGGCGAAAGCCUGAUCCAGCCAUGCCGCGUGUGUGAAGAAGGCCUUCGGGUUGUAAAGCACUUUCAGUGGGGAAGAAAGCCUUGGGGCUAAUACCCUCGAGGAAGGACAUCACCCACAGAAGAAGCACCGGCUAACUCCGUGCCAGCAGCCGCGGUAAUACGGAGGGUGCGAGCGUUAAUCGGAAUUACUGGGCGUAAAGUGCGCGUAGGCGGUCUGAUAAGCCGGUUGUGAAAGCCCCGGGCUCAACCUGGGAACGGCAUCCGGAACUGUCAGGCUAGAGUGCAGGAGAGGAAGGUAGAAUUCCCGGUGUAGCGGUGAAAUGCGUAGAGAUCGGGAGGAAUACCAGUGGCGAAGGCGGCCUUCUGGACUGACACUGACGCUGAGGUGCGAAAGCGUGGGUAGCAAACAGGAUUAGAUCCCCGAGUAGUC
rnacentral:rRNA from 1 species